rnacentral:rRNA from 1 species
CGAACGCUGGCGGCGUGCUUAACACAUGCAAGUCGAACGGAAAGGCCCCAGCUUGCUGGGGUACUCGAGUGGCGAACGGGUGAGUAACACGUGGGUGAUCUGCCCUGCACUCUGGGAUAAGCCUGGGAAACUGGGUCUAAUACCGGAUAGGACCGUGCUUUAGUGUGUGCGGUGGAAAGUUUUUCGGUGCAGGAUGAGCCCGCGGCCUAUCAGCUUGUUGGUGGGGUAAUGGCCUACCAAGGCGGCGACGGGUAGCCGGCCUGAGAGGGUGUACGGCCACAUUGGGACUGAGACACGGCCCAGACUCCUACGGGAGGCAGCAGUGGGGAAUAUUGCACAAUGGGCGCAAGCCUGAUGCAGCGACGCCGCGUGGGGGAUGACGGCCUUCGGGUUGUAAACCCCUUUCGGCAGGGACGAAGCUUUUGUGACGGUACCUGCAUAAGAAGCACCGGCCAACUACGUG